GCCGAGGUGGCGGAAUUGGCAGACGCGCGAGACUUAGGAUCUCGUGGGGCAACCCUUCCGGGUUCGAGUCCCGGCCUCGGCA
rnacentral:tRNA from 1 species